UCAGCGGUAGCCUAGUGGUCCAGGUAGCGGACUCCUGCUCGGCGUGUCAUGAGUUCGAGACUAGUACCACUGAA